rnacentral:rRNA from 1 species
AGUCACUGACAUUAGAUACCCUGUAGUCCAGGGUGUAAACGCUGCAGACUUGGUGUUGGAAGCCCUUUGGGGCAUUCAGUGCCGGAGAGAAGUUGUUAAGUCUGCUACUUGGGAGUACGUCCGCAAGGAUGAAACUUAAAGGAAUUGGCGGGGGAGCACCGCAACGGGAGGAGCGUGCGGUUUAAUUGGAUUCAACGCCGAAAACUCACCAGCAGCGACUGUUACAUGAAAGUCAGGUUGAUGACCUUACUAGAUUUUCAG